UUCCCUUCUUCUCUACAUUUAAACAGCGUGUGACACUCCCAAGUUCCCCCACAGCUUACUAGUUAUUUCCCUGGCAUGCAUCAUUGACCAUGUUUCUAAUUGGAUGGGUAGAAUUGAAACUUUUUAAAGCUGUUGUUACAGGAAGCUGGCCUAGACUUUAUCCAUUUGAGUCUUAGAGACUGUCAGGGAGUCUUUGGAUACAAAUGGUAGCCUGGGCUUUGCUAACAAGUGAAGAGAAGGAACCAAGGGAGGGUUACUGCCUGCCCAUGGCAUCUCUGGUGACCUCAGUAAAAGCACACUGGGCCCCUACUGUGUGGCAGGCUCUUGGUAUAACCAGAAGCCUGCAGUGUAAACUCACUGUCUAUUCAAUGUCUUCGGUUCUUGCAUCCUUUAGUGCCAAGGUGAAAUACCUUUCUCAUCUACAGACUCUUUACAUUGUGCGAGAACCUCUUAGGACAUUUUUAUCCAGUUAUUUGCAACUCGAAAUGACUUUGCUUCCUAGAAGGCACUUGGCAGCCUCUGGGGUUGGGUGUGGGAAGGAGCCACAUUAGAGUACAGACAGAAGGACUCCAACAUAGCCUAUGGUGCACCUUGUGACUUCCCACAAUAAUGUGUUCUCUGCUUCAAAAUCUCCACACUGUCAGAUUUCAGAAUCUCUGCUUUGAUCCCUGUUUCCUCCCUGGGGUGGCACUGCCAACUAGAACCCAAACAUCCAUUGAGAGAGCAGGAUGCUGAAGAUUAUUAGUCCCAAGUAGCCUUGUAGCUCUUCCUUGAUGCCCAAUCUCUGCCAGUGCUCAGAGAUGCCCUGCAUUGAAGCAGUUCAUACACACAUCUUUCAAGGCUCUCCCCUGGAGACUGACACUGAGCCAAGGCCUGACCUGAGCUGUUUUUAUUGGAGUCAUGGGUAGAUUGCUGCAAAAAGAAAAGAGCCUGAAAUCUAGAGUUUGGCUGUUUUUGCAGCUGAGUGCUGCCUCCCGAAGCAGAAUUAAUCCCACAGACAGACUCCCAAAAUGGGGUCCCUGUUGGCCAGAUUUAAAACCCCCAGGGCCUGUUCUUUUGUCUCCCUACUCUAUCACUAGGGCUUCACUGUGCUUAUCAGGACUGGACACCAUAUUCCUUCUAUCUCACUGUCUGGGAGUUGGCCUCAUGAACUGAACAAGCAGAUGAUCUUGUACUUGGCCUUAGUCCUUCACUGGUAGGUGUGCUCAUCAGACUCUCAUCCUCAUAUUAAAUGCCCGGGAGAAGCAAUUCAAAAGGAGGAAGGAUUGAUUUGGCCUCAUGGUUUUAUAGGUCUGAGUCCACUGUCUACUGGUCCCAUUGCUACAGAAAGUGGAAACAGCGUAACAGCGGUGCGGAAUGUGGCCGAGCAGAGAUGUUCGCUCCAAGAUGUCUGGGAAGAGGCGCUGUGUGGAACUCAGCCCUCUUAUGACUGAAUUCAGCAUGAGAAAAUGAGUGUCUGAGUAAAAAAAAAAAAAAAAAAAAAAGACUUAAAAUUCCAAAAUUAGAACCAAGAUGCAAGACUGUCAGCUACCUCUCCAGCACCAUGUCUGCUUGUGUGCCACUAUACGUCCCACCAUGAUGACAAUGGACUAAGCUCUGAACUGUAAAACAGCACCAAUUAAAUGUUUUCCUUUAUAAUAGUGCCAUGGUCAUGGUGUCUCUUCACAACAAUAGAAAAUCUAAGUAAGACCGAUGUUCAUUUAUUAUAACCGAAAUGUUCCCCUUGAUAUUGAUGGUAACAACAUCAUACUAGCUAGAAAGGGGUACAUGGAGGAGUUUGAGAUGGGUUUUUAGUUGAGUGUUUUUUUCUUUUCCUGGGUUAGCAAUCUAGGAAAUCACUGUUUCAUCCAUUGUACAAAGGCUAAUUACUCCAAAGUCAUCGUUUACCUGUUCACUCAUGUAUCCUCGAUCUCUCUAUCCAAAAUAUUAGUGAUUCUUUGUCAUUGGGCAUUCUACUAAGUCCCAGGGAUAUGAGAGGGAAAGAUCUUAUCUGAGUCUUCAAGAAGUAGACAGUUACAGAAUGCAAUGCUUUCCUACAGUAAGUCUGCUCAGAUUCAUAUGGGAACUGGGAGAAUAUGUGUUGAAAGCUGAUAGGAAUCAAAGAUGGACACACAGCCAUUCUGACACCUGUGAUUUCUUGGAGCAAAGGAGUAUCAGUCCUUCCUUUCUGUCCUUUCUUUUUAAGAUUAUU
ensembl:lncRNA